CCUACGGGAGGCAGCAGUGGGGAAUAUUGGGCAAUGGGCGCAAGCCUAACCCAGCAACGCCGCGUGAAGGAAGAAGGCUUUCGGGUUGUAACCUUCUUUUCUGAGGGACGAAGAAAGUGACGGUACCUCAGGAAUAAGCCACGGCUAACUACGUGCCAGCAGCCGCGGUAAUACGUAGGUGGCAAGCGUUAUCCGGAUUUAUUGGGUGUAAAGGGCGUGUAGGCGGGAAAGCACGUCAGAUGUGAAAACUCAGGGCUCAACCCUGGGACUGCAUUUGAAACUGUUUUUCUUGAGUGCUGGAGAGGCAAGCGGAAUUCCGGGUGUAGCGGUGAAAUGCGUAGAUAUACGGAGGAACACCAGUGGCGAAGGCGGAUUGCUGGACAGUAACUGACGCUGAGGCGCGAAAGCGUGGGGAGCAAACAGGAUUAGAUACCCGAGUAGUC
rnacentral:rRNA from 1 species